rnacentral:rRNA from 1 species
CGGAUUGAGUCUGCAACUCGACUCCAUGAAGCUGGAUUCGCUAGUAAUCGCGCAUCAGCCAUGGCGCGGUGAACACGUUCCCGGGCCUUGUACACACCGCCCGUCAAGCCAUGGAAGCCGGGAGUGCCUGAAGUGUGCAACCGCAAGGAGCGCCCUAAGGUAAAACUGGUGACUGGGGCUAAGUCGUAACAAGGUAUC